GACCUAACUACUGCCAGUCCUCCUCUUUUUUUUGCUGAGGAAGCCUGGCCCUGAGCUAGCAUCCAUGCCCAUCUUCCUCUACUUUAUAUGUGGGAUGCCUGCCACAGCAUGGCUUGCCAAGCAGUGCCGUGUCUGCACCUGGGAUCUGGGCCGCCGAACCCCGGGCCGCCAAAGUGGAACAUGCGCACUUAACCACCGUGCCACUGGGCUGGCCCCUCUUCUUUUACUUCUGAAACCCGACUCUUCUGCUGCUGAUCUUAUAAAGGACCCAUCACUUCUUGGAUCAGAAUCAUCAUAUCCGGGCUUCUUCAAGAACAAUGCUGACUGCUUGCCUCACAUCUGGUUGACUGCUGACGAGUCCUCCUUCUGUGUCCACCCACUGUCCAGGGUAAGAGGCCGGUGACACCUGAGAUCAUCUGUUGCCUGGACUGUCUUCAGCCAGGACCGGAGGAGGCUUGGGCAUCUCUAAAGCAGUGGAAUUCAUUCUCUGUGUGUCCUUCGUGAAGAGCGCAGGCCGCUUGUCUCCCCUCUGCCUUUCCUUACAGGCAACUGGCAGCGGCUGAAAUUUCUCCACUCGUGGCCCACUCCUCUGUGUCUGGGUUCCAUGUUCAGUGCAAAAGUCCUGGGAGGCGCUGUAGUCUUCAGGAGUGACACUUCCUAUUCCCAGAAAGUCGGGGACCAGCCUGGGAGGACUUGGUAACUUCCCCAGGACAUAGAGAACUGCAGGGGAAUAAAGAACAUAGCUCCCAUCAGACAAUGAGAAAAAGUCUACAAAUCAUAACUUUUCUUGAAGCCAUCAGAGAACUAAGGUUACAGGCAACAAAAUGAACUGAAUUCCGAAGAGAGACCAGCCGCUAUGAGAAGAGAUAAGACACAGAAAUUAUUUCACCUUUGGCCAAGACUGGCUACAUAAUUUAUGGGACCCAGUGAAAACUGAAAAUGUGGGGACUUUUUGAGUAUGGGUGCUGUUGAAUGCACAGCUCAAACGCCUUCAGGUGGGUCCUGUCUUUGGCAGAGAACAUGAGGAAGAAGUGACCACCAUCAUUAUGGGCGAAAAGAAGGGAACUAAAAUUUGAUGCAUCCCUAAAGGUUGAAUAUGGGCUACCCCAUCCGUUUAGAAUGCCUGGGAGUCUCAGAUAUAUGAAGAGUUUGUACUCACAAGCCCUUUUCCAUGGGCCUCCACAAGAAAGACUGGGCAUAGUGCAGGAGACCAGAGAGUGCGACCCUUGAUGGGGCAGGCAUUCCAGACAAUGC
rnacentral:lncRNA from 1 species